GACGAACGCUGGCGGCGUGCUUAACACAUGCAAGUCGAACGGAAAGGCCCUGCUUUUGUGGGGUGCUCGAGUGGCGAACGGGUGAGUAACACGUGAGUAACCUGCCCUUGACUUUGGGAUAACUUCAGGAAACUGGGGCUAAUACCGGAUAGGAGCUCCUGCUGCAUGGUGGGGGUUGGAAAGUUUCGGCGGUUGGGGAUGGACUCGCGGCUUAUCAGCUUGUUGGGGGGGUAGUGGCUUACCAAGGCUUUGACGGGUAGCCGGCCUGAGAGGGUGACCGGCCACAUUGGGACUUGGAGACGGCCCAGACUCCUACGGGAGGCAGCAGCGGGGAAUUUUGCACAAUGGGCGGAAGCCUGAUGCAGCAACCCCGCGUGCGGGAUGACGGCCUUCGGGGUGUAAACCGCUUUCGCCUGUGACGAAGCGUGAGUGACGGUAAUGGGUAAAGAAGCACCGGCUAACUACGUG
rnacentral:rRNA from 1 species